ensembl:lncRNA
GGAGACGAUGGUGUGUGUCCCGAAAACAGUGUGAUCCCACUAUAGCCAUGCUAUUGGGAGGAAGAUACAGAGCGUGACUCUGACGACACGGACAGAUGAAGAGCUGAGAUUGAUUGAUUGAGAGAUAUUGGAAGAAAUUUAAUGAAGCACAUUUAAAACACUGUCUUUCGACCAAAUUCUUUACUGAGAAAAUCUACUAGAUAGAAACACUGAUUAUUUUACACCCUUCAUAUCAAUUAUGUUGUUGUUAUUGUUGUUGUUGUUGUUGUUGUUGUUCAGUGUACUCAUCCUGUCCUGUAUUAAAACUGAGCAGGAGAGAUGCAUGAUGGCCCACUUCUCCGCGUCCUUGAGAGGCGUAUGUCAGCGCCAGGGGCUUGUAACUUGUGUGUGUGUAUGUGUGUGUGUGUGUGAGGUUCCUGUGGAGCUCAGCAUGUGCUCUGUGCCCGAGUUCGCUCCACCCAGACGCUCGUCCCCUACCCGCUUCUGGAGAAGAGCCAGGAUCUGGAGGGACCGCUGUCACAAGAGGGAGGGAGAGGGAGCGUGUUAAGGUUGAAGAGGACUUCCGAGAGUAAUGUCUUCAGAAAGCUGUGCUAAAUGCGUUGAAGCUACAUACAUAUGCCACAUAGAAUGAUGUUUCUGUAAUAGAAUUAUAAAUAAUUGCUGCAAAUCUUAAGUGUAACCAUCAUUCUUGCCACCUGAACGCUCUCCAGAGAACCAAAUUCCUGCCAUUAACACAUCAGAGGAAGCAUUUUAUCUCAAUGAGCACAGGAAGCGUGUUUGCUUUUGAUCAGCUGCCAGCCUCGCGCAGUGCCGCCGUGCCACAGCCCUCACUGCUCCCAGUGGAUCAUGGAAAACAGCAAGGACUGUU